rnacentral:rRNA from 1 species
CCUACGGGAGGCAGCAGUGGGGAAUUUUGGACAAUGGGCGCAAGCCUGAUCCAGCCAUGCCGCGUGCGGGAAGAAGGCCUUCGGGUUGUAAACCGCUUUUGUCAGGGAAGAAAAUGUUCUGGAUAAUACCUGGGACUCAUGACGGUACCUGAAGAAUAAGCACCGGCUAACUACGUGCCAGCAGCCGCGGUAAUACGUAGGGUGCAAGCGUUAAUCGGAAUUACUGGGCGUAAAGCGUGCGCAGGCGGUUAUGCAAGACAGAGGUGAAAUCCCCGGGCUCAACCUGGGAACUGCCUUUGUGACUGCAUAGCUAGAGUACGGUAGAGGGGGAUGGAAUUCCGCGUGUAGCAGUGAAAUGCGUAGAUAUGCGGAGGAACACCGAUGGCGAAGGCAAUCCCCUGGACCUGUACUGGCGCUCAUGCACGAAAGCGUGGGGAGCAAACAGGAUUAGAUACCCUGGUAGUCCACGCCCUAAACGAUGUCAACUGGUUNUUGGGAGGGUUUCUUCUCAGUAACGUAGCUAACGCGUGAAGUUGACCGCCUGGGGAGUACGGCCGCAAGGUUGAAACUCAAAUGAAUUGACGGCGNGAGAGNGACGACGGACGACGACGAGGGAGGAGG